CCUACGGGGGGCAGUAGUGAGGAAUAUUGGUCAAUGGGCUUACGCCUGAACCAGCCAAGUCGCGUGAGGGAAGACUGCCCUAUGGGUUGUAAACUUCUUUUAUAAAGGAAUAAAACGAGGCACGUGUGCCUUUUUGCAUGUACUUUAUGAAUAAGGAUCGGCUAACUCCGUGCCAGCAGCCGCGGUAAUACGGAGGAUCCGAGCGUUAUCCGGAUUUAUUGGGUUUAAAGGGAGCGUAGAUGGGUUGUUAAGUCAGUUGUGAAAGUUUGCGGCUCAACCGUAAAAUUGCAAUUGAUACUGGCAGUCUUGAGUACAGUUGAGGUAGGCGGAAUUCGUGGUGUAGCGGUGAAAUGCUUAGAUAUCACGAAGAACCCCGAUUGCGAAGGCAGCUUACUAAACUGUGACUGACAUUGAUGCUCGAAAGUGUGGGUAUCAAACAGGAUUAGAUACCCUAGUAGUC
rnacentral:rRNA from 1 species